UCCAGACUCCUACGGGAGGCAGCAGUGAGGAAUAUUGGUCAAUGGACGAGAGUCUGAACCAGCCAAGUAGCGUGAAGGAUGACUGCCCUAUGGGUUGUAAACUUCUUUUAUAAAGGAAUAAAACGAGGCACGUGUGCCUUUUUGCAUGUACUUUAUGAAUAAGGAUCGGCUAACUCCGUGCCAGCAGCCGCGGUAAUACGGAGGAUCCGAGCGUUAUCCGGAUUUAUUGGGUUUAAAGGGUGCGCAGGCGGGAGAUCAAGUCAGCGGUAAAAUGUCGGGGCUCAACCCCGGCCGGCCGUUGAAACUGGUUUUCUAGAGUUGGAGAGAAGUAUGCGGAAUUCGUGGUGUAGCGGUGAAAUGCAUAGAUAUCACGAAGAACUCCGAUUGCGAAGGCAGCAUACCGGCUCCAUACUGACGCUGAGGCACGAAAGCGUGGGGAUCGAACAGGAUUAGAUACCCUUGUAUAA
rnacentral:rRNA from 1 species